CUUCCUGCGACAGUUACCUCAUGAAAAAUAUGUUAUAUGUCAAAUUAACUUCACGGUGCAGACCUCAGCUAAGCAGACCCAGGACAUCUCCCUAACGGAACUUGAAAGAUAUUAAAGAACAAACAUCAGAGACAUAAAUAAAAAUCUCUGCUUUACACAGGUGAUGCCGAUGCUGCCGCUCUAAGGACCACCCUUCGAAAACCACCGUUUGAAAACUACCUACAAAACUUCUAAUAAUAAUGAGUGCUUGCGCUGUGCUGAAGGUUUUGCAUAUGUCACCUCAUCUCAUCUUUGUAACAACACUAUGAAAGGGGAAUAAAUAUCCCCAACUUAUAAUAAGGAACUUGAGGCUGAGGCAUGAGUUAACCGGCCAGCCCAGUGUGGAAAGUCUAACUCCAGAGGUCAGGACAUGGAUAACACUGCUGGUGGGAAACACCGACCCAAGCAGGAGCCACAGGACAGCAGUAGAGAGGUUACAGAGAUGCUGCUCUCUUAUGUAAAUGGAUUCUUCUCCCGGUACCCCCACUGCCCUCCAAAGAAGCCUCCAUCCUAGAGGACAGCUCUGGAGUAUAACAGACUAUACGUGGGUGCCAGGGGUUACAAGCCUUCUCUAUAGCUCAAUUACUCAUCUGUUUCAUGGACCUAAUAAUUCCUCCCUCCACGGCUUGUAAGAAUUAAAUGAGAUAAUGUAUGUAAAGCACUUAGUACCUGGGGCAUCAUACCAGCUCAGAAGCUGCUGGCUCUUUUAUUAUUAUUGCUAUUGUUGCUUCGUUAUCAUCAUCAGCAUUAAUGUUGUCAUCCUCAAGGGAAGAGCAAUUAUUUCAAAGGGAAAGUAUAAUGGCCUUGAUAAUCUUCCGUGAUCAGUUCACAGUAUUCCUCCUGUUAAUCAAAAGCUUGGCAGUUUGGGUCACGUGGUUCUAAUGACACAGGUGCUCCUGACAGAAUUAGCAAAAAAGGAAAGUAAAAUAAAGCAGCAUUUGGUGCCCUACUUUUCUCCAGUACGGUUUACAUGUUCUCCUAAUUAAAUUUUUGAGUAAACUUCGUUCCACAGCCGUGCUGGGUUUACUCAGAUGCACUAUAGAAUGAUUCACAGCCUUGAUAGAAACUUCUCCGCUCUCGGUGCCAAAUGCCUUGCUGUAGGUGCAACAUGAGAAUUCAUCUAUUAUUUUACCCUCGCUUAAUUAAUUCCACUGCCAGCUACCUGUUGAUGAUGGGGGUCUGUUGGCAAUGCUGAACAAAGUCUUAAGUCAAAGAGUUUUAAUAACAUGUUUACUGCUGGGUGGUCUGCCACUUUUGAUUAAACUUCAUGAGGAUUUAUAACCAUGUCUCCCCCCACAUGUCUGUAACCUUUAAGGGAUGUCUGAUACAAAGCAAAGGUCAUGGGUUCCAAAAGCCCUUCUUCUAAUAAAUAUGUUAGAC